rnacentral:rRNA from 1 species
UGGGGAAUUGUUCGCAAUGGGCGCAAGCCUGACGACGCAACGCCGCGUGGAGGAUGAAGACCUUCGGGUCGUAAACUCCUUUCGAUCGAGACGAAUGGCCUCCGGGUGAACAAUCCGGAGGAGUGACGGUACCGAGAGAAGAAGCCCCGGCUAACUCCGUGCCAGCAGCCGCGGUAAGACGGAAGGUGCAAGCGUUGCUCGGAAUCACUGGGCGUAAAGGGUGCGUAGGCGGCUGUGUAAGUCUGGCGUGAAAGCCCAGGGCUCAGCCCUGGAAGGGCGCUAGAAACUGCGCGGCUAGAGUGCCGGAGGGGAGAGUGGAAUUCCUGGUGUAGCGGUGAAAUGCGUAGAUAUCAGGAGGAAUACCGGUGGCGAAAGCGACUCUCUGGACGGCAACUGACGCUGAGGCACGAAAGCGUGGGGAGCAAACAGGAUUAGAUACCCCCGUAGUCCCUGAGCGGGCUGGCAAGGCG